ACUAUUAAAAUUUACAAAAGUAUCUAUUAACAUAAUUUUAUUUAUGUACACAAAUGAAAUUUUGUUGCGAAAGUGUCAUAGUCGUAAGAAAAAAAUGAUAUCAUAAAAAUAUAUGUUUUUGUAUGUUGUUAAGAAAUCAUGUUACUGAUAAUCAUUAAUGUAUACAUUCAUUUUUCAGUGUAAUGGUCAGUCCAGUUGAGACUAUUGUGCGACACGCCUGGUUAACUGAAGGAUUUUUCAUAUAGGGUAUUACGUGUUUGGUAGUGGUGUUUCUACUUGAGACGAGUUUGAUCAUCUUGUCUUCAGUGAAGAAAAGCAGAGUGAUAUGUUGUAAAGUGUGCAUCAGCUGAAAAACAAGAAUAUAGUCAAAUAUUUGUGGCAUCAAUGGAUGGAUAACUGUAUAUAAAGAUUUCUGCUACUGCUACAACAAGUGUUUGACAUAAGUUUUCAUAUUGGUGUCAUUCUCACUCAGUCUUCUUUAUCCUCUCUGGAACAUUUGGCCGCCACCACAAUUAGCUAUUGGAUUGGUGUAACAUGAUGCAACUACGACAGAUGAUAGAACACAAAGGAGACUUUAUGACUUUCCAGAUUUAUCAGUACUAACAAAUCUUUAUCAGUACUAACAAAUCUCCAUGUAUUUUAAUUUAGAAAAUAAUAUAUCUUAUUAGUGAUCUGUCGCUGAAUAAAUCAUUGUUUGGAGUUCAGGUACAAAGGAAUUAUAUCACGGGCGCAUCUUAACAACGAAAAAUGAUUUUAUUAACGAGCAAAUAACAAAAUGAGAUAUAUUACUUAGAUUGUAACAAGCUACAAAGGACUUCAAAGUACAACCUUGCCUGCAUUCAUUUUAUUUUUGCCGUUUUCAGUUGUUUUUUCAGGGCGCCACUAUGCCGUUUCACAUUAUGACGUAAUAGAUUUGAAGUCAUAAUAGUGUAUUGUUGAAUGAUAAUUCACAGUUUUCAGCCUUUUUUGUUUAAUAGGAAAAUUAAUCGUAUUGUGUUAAGAGUAAAUAACAGUGAUUUCUUGUUUAAUUAAAUCGUUGUUUGAAAUUCAUAUGUGAAUGAAUUACAUCACGAGUGUGCAGCCCUAUUGAUAUGAUAAUAUAAUCUGAACGACAGUGGAUUUAUUAGCAUGACUAUUCGAAGAAUAUGGGAGCUUUCCUACUCGUCACGGCGUCGGGAUUAGCGUUAGUGUAAGCAUCACACAAAUUUUAAAGUUUGCGUACCACCCCAAAUAUUUUCAAAC
rnacentral:lncRNA from 1 species